ensembl:lncRNA
UGAGGUGGAUGCCUCAGAUGUUGGGGUGGGGGCUAUUCUUUCUCAGAAGUCUGGGGCAGAUCAGAAGGUCCACCCCUGUGCAUUCUACUCCCACAAACUCACUCCCACUGAGCGCAAUUAUGACAUUGGCGACAGAGAGCUGUUGGCAGUAAAAUUGGCCCUAGAGGAGUGGCGUCAUUGGCUGGAGGGAGCUAAGGAGCCAUUUUUAGUUUGGACGGAUCAUAAGAAUCUGGAGUAUCUACGUUCGGCUAAACGCUUAAAUCCCAGGCAAUCUCGUUGGUCUCUGUUUUUCACCCGUUUUGACUUUUGUCUGUCCUUCCGACCAGGAUCCAAGAAUGGUAAACCGGAUGCCCUGUCUCGUCAGUUCCCAGAUUCGGAUCCUGCUCCUGCACCUAGCACCGUCCUGUCCCCACAGUGCCUCAUAGGAGCUGCUAGAUGGGAUAUUGAGACCAUUGUCCACACAGCCCUGUCUGGUGAGUCCGGCCCCAGCACUUGCCCUCCUAACUGUCUUUUCGUACCACAAUCCGUCCGCUCCCAGGUCCUGCAAUGGGGUCACUCAUCCAAGCUGGCCUGUCAUCCGGGUGUCAGACGUACCACUGCGUUAAUAAAGCAACGCUUCUGGUGGCCUGCUAUGGAGCGGAGUUACCCAGGAGACCCUGGUCCCACAUUGCCCUGGACUUUGUCACUGGUUUGCCACCUUCUCACGGAGACAGCGGACUUACUCGUGCAGCAUGUCUUCAGGCUACACGGGCUCCCAGUGGAUGUGGUCUCAGACAGAGGUCCCCAGUUCACCUCUAAUUUUUGGCGUGCUUUUUGCAACCUUCUCGGUGCGAGGGUCAGUCUGUCCUCAGGCUUUCAUCCCCAGUCAAAUGGCCAGUCGGAGCGAGCCAACCAGCAGAUGGAGACAGCGUUGCGGUGCCUGACGUCACAGGACCCUACAGCCUGGAGUCUUCAGCUGCCAUGGGUGGAGUACUCCAUGAACUCCUUGCCAUCUGCGUCUACUGGUCUGUCUCCGUUCCAGUGCUGCCUCGGCUACCAGCCUCCAUUGUUCCCGACCCAGGAGGAGGAGGUUGGGGUUCCUCAGCACAGACAUUCAUCCGACGCUGUCGCAGAACGUGGAGGCGGACCCGGGCCGCCAUUCUUCGCUCACAGACCAGAAUGAAGAGUCAGGCUGACCGUCGCCGCAUCAAAGCUCCCCACUACACCCAGGGGCAGCGGGUGUGGCUUUCCACGCGUGACCUUCCUCUGAAGGUGACUUCCCCAAAAUUGAAUCCACGCUUCAUCGGCCCCUACGCCAUCUCCCAGGUGGUCAACCCUCUGCGGUUCGCUUGAACCUCCCUCCUGCCCUCCGCCGCAUCCACCCCACCUUCCAUGUGUCCCGUGUCAAGCCCUUCCGGUGUUGCCGUCCGGGUUCCAACUCCGGCCCCAAACCCCCACCACCCCCCAGACUCGUUGAUGGGUCUGAGGUUUACACAGUUCGCCGCCUGCUCGACGUCCGCCGUCGGGGUCGGGGCCACCAGUACCUGGUGGACUGGGAGGGCUACGGCCCCGAGGAGAGGAGCUGGGUCCCUGCCCGGAACAUUGUUGACCCCUCGCUCAUCAAGGACUUUCACCGUCAGCAUCCCGCUCCUACCUCGGUCAACGCCAGGAGGCGUUGGUAGAGGAGGGGGUACUGUCAGGAUCCUCGCAUGGACUGUUGUUUUUGUCUCCCCCUACCUGUUGGAGUGUGAUAGUUCGGGGCUUUGUUUAUGUUUGGAGCCAUGUGUUGGUCAUGUGUACGGGGUGACACCCAUGUCCUUAUUUGGGCGACUUCCUGCCUUUUGUUUGUGCCCUCCAUUUUCUCUGUCCACCUGUCCCUCAUCUUGCAUUGAUUGGUGGAGUAUUUAAACGCUGCCCUUUCUGCUCACUUUGUCAGAUCGUCACGUUAGGUACUGUUUGCUACCCGACUGCCACGUGAGUGCGACUAGCGUGAAGCUCUUUAAAGAGAAACUAUUGUUUACUGUUCUUCCCGGUUUUGAACCCUGCCUGUUUUUGGACUAAGCCUUCUGCCUAUCGGUUUUGGAUCUCUUGCCUGUACCUGUCCGCCAGUAUCUGUCUGCCUGCCUGCCUGUUUACGAACCCUGCCUGUACCUGGAAUCUGAUUUGCCCGCUGGACUGUAUGGAAAUAAACCCUUUUUGAUCUGCUAUUGAUUCCCGUUCUGUGUCGUGACAGUUAUAUACAUGGUACGGUAUGACAACCUUAUAUAAUACAGUCAAUGUCCCGCUCAAUAUCAUUUAAUCUGUCAUUGUCUAUUUUUCAAAAAUAAAGAUGGUUAAAAAAAAAAAA